rnacentral:rRNA from 1 species
AACGAACGCUGGCGGCAUGCCUAACACAUGCAAGUCGAACGAGACCUUCGGGUCUAGUGGCGCACGGGUGCGUAACGCGUGGGAACCUGCCCUUAGGUUCGGAAUACCUCCCCGAAAGGGGUGCUAAUACCGGAUAAUGUCUUCGGCCCAAAGAUUUAUCGCCUUUGGAUGGGCCCGCGUUGGAUUAGCUAGUUGGUAGGGUAAAAGCCUACCAAGGCGACGAUCCAUAGCUGGUCUGAGAGGAUGAUCAGCCACACUGGGACUGAGACACGGCCCAGACUCCUACGGGAGGCAGCAGUGGGGAAUAUUGGAAAAUGGGCGAAAGCCUGAUCCAGCAAUGCCGCGUGAGUGAUGAAGGUCUUAGGGUUGUAAAGCUCUUUUACCCGGGAUGAUAAUGACAGUACCGGGAGAAUAAGCUCCGGCUAACUCCGUG